GUGGGGAAUUUUGGACAAUGGGCGCAAGCCUGAUCCAGCCAUGCCGCGUGAGUGAAGAAGGCCUUCGGGUUGUAAAGCUCUUUCGGCGGGGAAGAAAUGGCAACGGCUAAUAUCCGUUGUUGAUGACGGUACCCGCAUAAGAAGCACCGGCUAACUACGUGCCAGCAGCCGCGGUAAUACGUAGGGUGCGAGCGUUAAUCGGAAUUACUGGGCGUAAAGCGUGCGCAGGCGGUAGUGUAAGUCAGAUGUGAAAUCCCCGGGCUCAACCUGGGAACUGCAUUUGAGACUGCACGGCUAGAGUGUGACAGAGGGGGGUAGAAUUCCACGUGUAGCAGUGAAAUGCGUAGAGAUGUGGAGGAAUACCGAUGGCGAAGGCAGCCCCCUGGGUUACUACUGACGCUCAUGCACGAAAGCGUGGGGAGCAAACAGGAUUAGAUACCCGGUAGUCC
rnacentral:rRNA from 1 species